AUAUAUAUAUGUGUGUGUGUGUGUGUGUACAUGUAUAUGUGUGUGUGUGUGUAUAUAUGUAUGUGUGUGUAUAUAUAUGUAUGUAUGUGUGUAUAUAUAUGUGUGUGUGCAUGUG
rnacentral:miRNA from 1 species